AUAAUUAUGGGUUCUGCAGUAUUCGUGGCAUAUAGGUUGGGCGGAAAAUAUUAAAACAAGAACAGUACACAGCGAGCACACAACUUGACGAACAUGGAUGGGAAAAGCAGCACCACAGGGAUAGAAUUUACUCUCAACUGAAGAACUGCACAAGAUUUGUCGCUGUCGAGAAGAUUGGUAUCAUCAGCAAACAAUUUGGUAAAGAAGGAGGAACAACAAGUUAUGUCAUUUACAUAGACUAGAAAUAGAAGAGGACCCAAGCAACUACCUUGAGGAACUCCGUGAGUCACUGAUUUGAAAAGAGGGAUCACUCGGGCAAUUUUGAGACAUGCAGGGAAGAUUCCAAACAAAAGUGAACAAUUGAAGAAUUCAGCCAAACAUGGUGCAAUGAGAUCAGCAACUAAUUUAAGGAAACGUGCUGGUAUGUUGUCUGGACCAACUGCCUUCCUGUCUUUCAAAUUAUGUAUUUCUAUUAUCAAUUCAUUUGUAGUCGCUGGGCUCAUGAAGAUGGACUGGUUUAUACAAUUGUGAAGAAAUUGUUUAAAGCUAUCCUGUUCAGUGGAAAACUUGCCUGAAAGGCUAGACCCAAUUGUAGAAAAAUACUUAUUAAAUUCUGUGGCAAUCAAAAGUUCAUCCCUAAUUAUAGAGCCAUUUUCAAUAUCGAUCUCGUUAACUUUUUGAUUAGAUUUAUUUUUUACAUGAGUGAUUUCGUUAACUGUUUGCCAUGUUGACCUAGGAUUACCUUUGUUUUUAGCAAUAAGGUUUUGAUAAUAGGUUUGUUUUGAAUCAUCUAUGGCUCUAAUCAAAACAUUUCUAUACUUUUU